GCAUUGCCUGGCUGGGAGUGGGACCCGUCAGCAGCGGCAGCAGUCAACCAUGUCGUUGUGAAAUUUUAUCUAUUAUAUGUGCUGGUGAAAUUCAAUUGGCCAGAUUCUGCUUCUUUGAGGCUGAGGGAUUCAUGUAAUGUGGAAGUGGAUUCAGACAUAUUUGAUGAACUCUUAAAGUCAUCAGGGGUGUUUUUCAAGGCAGAGGAAUGUAAUGAUAUCCACACUGAGGUGACAUUCUUAGAGGGCUCAUCUUCAUCAGACUGGUCACCAUCAUCAUCAUGUGCAUCCCCAGGGUCAUCAUCAGGUACUGACUCAACAGUGAUACUGGAAUCUACAAAGACUGAGAGAAGACAGCUUAUUGAAGGACCCCUGGAUGUCAAU